GAUGAACGCUGGCGGCGUGCCUAAUACAUGCAAGUCGAGCGAACGGACGAGAAGCUUGCUUUUCUGAUGUUAGCGGCGGACGGGUGAGUAACACGUGGAUAACCUACCUAUAAGACUGGGAUAACUUCGGGAAACCGGAGCUAAUACCGGAUAAUAUUUUGAACCGCAUGGUUCAAAAGUGAAAGACGGUCUUGCUGUCACUUAUAGAUGGAUCCGCGCUGCAUUAGCUAGUUGGUAAGGUAACGGCUUACCAAGGCAACGAUGCAUAGCCGACCUGAGAGGGUGAUCGGCCACACUGGAACGGGGACACGGUCCAGACUCCUACGGGAGGCAGCAGUAGGGAAUCGUCCGCAAUGGGCGAAAGCAUGACGGAGCAACGCCGCGUGAGUGAUGAAGGUCUUCGGAUCGUAAAACUCUGUUAUUAGGGAAGAACAUAUGUGUAAGUAACUGUGCACAUCUUGACGGUACCUAAUCAGAAAGCCACGGCUAACUACGUG
rnacentral:rRNA from 1 species